CCUACGGGUGGCAGCAGUGGGGAAUAUUGCGCAAUGGGCGAAAGCCUGACGCAGCGACGCCGCGUGAGGGAUGAAGGUCUUCGGAUUGUAAACCUCUGUCAGCAGGGAAGAACGGUCACUGUGCUAAUCAGCAGUGAAUUGACGGUACCUGCAAAGGAAGCACCGGCUAACUCCGUGCCAGCAGCCGCGGUAAUACGGAGGGUGCGAGCGUUAAUCGGAAUUAGUGGGCGUAAAGGGCUCGUAGGCGGUAUGUCAAGUCAAGGGUGAAAGCCCCGGGCUAAACGUGGGAACUGCCUUUGAAACUGGCAGACUGGAGGUUGUGAGAGGAAAGUGGAAUUCCAGGUGUAGGAGUGAAAUCCGUAGAUAUCGGGAGGAACAUCAGUGGCGAAGGCGACUAUCUGGCACAUAACUGACGCUGAGGAGCGAAAGCGUGGGUAGCAAACAGGAUUAGAUACCCGAGUAGUC
rnacentral:rRNA from 1 species